rnacentral:rRNA from 1 species
UACGUAGGGGGCAAGCGUUAUCCGGAAUCACUGGGCGUAAAGGGUGCGUAGGCGGUUUGUCAAGUCAGGAGUGAAAGGCUUAUGGCUCAACCAUAGUGAGCUCUUGAAACUGACAAACUUGAGUACAGGAGAGGAAAGUGGAAUUCCUAGUGUAGCGGUGAAAUGCGUAGAUAUUAGGAGGAACACCAGUGGCGAAGGCGACUUUCUGGACUGUAACUGACGCUGAGGCACGAAAGCGUGGGGAGCGAACAGG